CUUGACGCCGCUUUUUUUAAACUUUGUGUAAUUGUCAAAAUUGAGUGCGCAGAUACAAUUUAAGUGGAAGAAUGUUUUCGUGCCAAAUUAAUUGUGUUACUUACUUGCAUAUUAAUACGAUACUCCUUUGCAAUUAACCAAAAAGUAAUGGAUGUAGUGAAGUUUCCGCAUAAAUGCAAUGUUAGCCACAAACUUUUGUCUCUCGUACUUAUUUGUAUGUAUGUGUGUAAUCGCGAGUUUGAGUAGAUAAAUUGCAAUUAAAAGGAAAACUGACUAAAUGCGAAUGCACUCAGUAUUUAAACCGGCAUGUGGCUAAAAUACACACACAUAUGUAUGCAUGUAAGUGUGUAUAUGUUCGCAGCUGCCAAACAACCAAGAACAUGUUUAUAUUACACAGCUGUCAAGACCAAAACGGCUUACCUACAUAUGCAGACAGAUAAUUCAAACUGUACAUGAAUUUACUUAAAGCAGCUUUGUUUUUGUGCAACUGGAAAAGUGUUAAAGGAUGAAAAUUAAGAAGAAGAAUGCGAGCAAAUGAGGCUUAAGAAUUAGGAGGGCUUAGAUAAUAAAAAAUAUAGAUACAUACAUACAUAUAUUUAAAUUUUUA